GGCUCUUCCAAGGAAUCUGUGCUGGCAUUAAUUGGGGUAAGGGGCCCACCGUUACACUAAAAGCUUUGGGAGGCAAAAUAUCUUUUCCCAGAUCUCCUUCAGCCUGACAGCUCUUGUCCAAAGUGUUGUAACUGAGGUCGCUGGAACCCAGGUGGGGGGAGCCCGGAAUGCUGGGAGAGCACUGGGGGGAGGGGACUGAGAGAAAGAAAACAGCAGCCACCCACAGAAACCUGUUUGCACAGCUCCUGUAACCAGGUCGGUCCAUGAUGACUAUGCCCCAAACCUGUAUUUCCAACUGGUCACCUCCCAUCUUCUAUUCAUGGAUUCUUGACAGGGGGCCAGAGUCCCUGCAACUGGUCACAGAAGUUUGGCUGGCGAGCUUCUUGGUAGGAACUGUGUCGUCUCGCCUGUCCCCGUGUAAUCAGCCCCAAACACGACGUCCUAGUUCGUGUGGGAACUGAAAUCACAUCUGUCAAUGGAUCGGAAUCGAAUUCCUACGUGAUACCAAAGGCGGAAACCACGAAGGAAAGAUGGAGGAUUUCACUACAUAAAUUUUCAGUCCUCUCUGUACUGAAAUAUUUACAGCAGUGCCAAGAAUUGCGGGGUGACGUUACGGGCAGGACGGAUGGGUUCCAGCGUGAGGUCCACCUUGGCCACCUCCCUGCCUCGCUGCGUCUGCUGUCGCUCGGCAAUGCUCACUGACGUCCCCUCUCCUGUGCCCACGGCUGUCCCAGACCGGCUCCCCUCGUCCCGCCCAGCCCUGCCUGCGCGGCGGACUGUAUUAAGAGCAGGGUUGCGUGAAGUGACUGCUCUCAACUCGUCUCUGCUCUGGGCCCACUUACCCAGUGGGCGGGGAGGGCAGAGCGCAUUUGAAUUCCCACAACUCUUUUAAGGACCCACGAAGAUGUUUUGAUGUCUUUUUAAAAUCAGAAGAAAAAAAUGAACUUUUAGGUUGAAGAAAAUGUUUUAAUAUGUAAUAUUACUAUGUUUGUCUUCAAUACA